CUUCACUGUAUAACCAUGGCAGUUCUGCACCUUCCCUCCUAGCAGGCGACCUGUGCUUAUGUCAUCUGUGUCUUCCAACUUAAAGGAAAAAUGAGUCAACGGCAAAUCUGGAGACUGUACCAAUCAGAAUUCUUGGCUGCAAACAAACAAACAGCAGCACCAACAAAGCAACAUGAUACAGCAAAGGGCAUGAAGAACCCAAACUGAUCAGGUGCAGCCUUAGCUUCCAAUUCAAUGGAAUUCCAACCUUCAUGUUACUAUUCCAUCAGAAGCCAAAAUCAAAAGGAUAGAAAACAAACAGUUGGCAAGUGAGUUAGUAAAUAUAAUCCUGAGAACCUCCAUUCCAGUUUUAAACCCUACAAUUCUAGACUUGGAUAUUCUGACCAAGUGGAAAAAAAACUCCAUGUGGCAAUCGUUUGUUCAAAAUGUAAACCGUAUCCUGCAAGAAAACACAUCAACCCCCCACGCUGUUGACUCUCUGUUAAGCUUAUCUGACUCAGUGACUAGUUCCUUUUAGUAAUGGGGUAUGCAGUAGUAUCAAUGAAUCCCUUGAAUAUUAACCCAUUGCCUUCCUUAUUCCUUUAAAAAAAAAUGAGUUCCUUUAAACUGAAUCUAUUUAGUGUGGGGUACCAUCGCCUUGCAUAAGGCAACCAAUUAAUCUACAGAUGGUAUAAUGACAGAGAAGAAUGAUCAGGGAAAGCAAAAACAAAUUCAGAAUACAUACCUACUGCAAUAAGGAAAAACUGCUGCUCACUUCUCCCCAUCCCAUAAAGAUGAUAGGUAUUCCCUGUAGACAACUUGAUAUCAAAUUGUUCUUUGGUCUCUCUAGGUAUAAUGCUUUUUAGAAGCCCAUGAUCAGUUACUGAUACUAGAAAAUGGAGUGUUCACGGUAGCCGGAUGGCCACUGAUGAGAACUCCAUGUUGUUGUAACCGCAGAUAAUCUUCAUUCCCUCUAUGAUAAACAUUUGGUUCAUGAAUCCGCUGGCAUUGCUGAGAAAGGAGGUUAACCUAUAUUUACUGAGUGGGUCACCUUAUCUGUUCAACAUACCCUUUCCCCAAACUCCCUUCAUAAUCUCCAACCCUACUCUUCCCAACUGUCUGGCCGUCCAGCUAGUUCAUUAAUCACUGAGUUGGUAUAGGUUCUUGUUCUGAUUAUCUUUACUGCAUAUAAAAUUAACCUACAAUUUAGUGGCUUAAAACAAUCAUUCUAUUAUGAUCAUGGAUUCUGUAGGUAAGGAAUUCAGGUGGAACACUGGGGAUGGCUUUCCCUUGCUCUGUGAUGUCUGCUGCCUCAGCUAGGAAGUCUUGAGUCUGGGGAUGACUCAAUGACUAUGGGCUGGAAGCAUCUGAAAGCUCCUUCACUCACAUAUCUGGUACCUACACUGGGCUGACUCGAGGACGAGGACUGGUGACUGAAGUAAUUACAUGUGGCCUCUCUUGGCAACCACAUAGCAUGACAGCCACAGGGUGAUAGUAUUUCACUCCCAGUGACCACAGGAAAUAAGUUAAUUAGCAGUUUCACUUUUUCAUAGUAGAAUAAGGCAGAUCUAAAUUCUAUCUCUAAAAUGACUAGAAUUUUAAAUUCCUUCACCCUCAACAAAGCCAGAUAAAAGCCCUGGAUCCUGCCAAUUUCACCAAGAUUUUGUGCUGCAACUCACUACGAGUAACAAUCUCUGUUUAAAUCGGGGUCUUGGUUGCACAGCAGAAACUGACUCUGAUCCUACUAAGCAGAAAAGGACUUCACUGGAAGAAAAAAGGUUGGCUCAGACAGUGCAUAAGAGGGCUAAAGAACCAAGCUCAGAAAAGGGCCCUGAAUUAGAGGCUGGGAAGCAGAGAAUGUAGCUAAGCUCAUAUCUCAGGAUCAGCCUGGAGAGAACAUCUCCACUAACAGUGCCCCCACUGGGAUCCUGGCUGCUGCUGCUAACGUGAAGACCUACCACCGCUGUGACUGACUUAACUGUUCAGUCACCUCCAGAACAACCCCUAACUACCCCUGAUUUUGUCACUUUCUACAGAUCCAACAUUCCCAUAUAGAGCUUCCUGCCAGCCAAACUUAAUGACAUGUCUGCUUCUUAGCUCUUGGGGUGAGAAGAGGGGAUGAAUGCUUCUUCUAGUUCCCCAGAGGGAAGUGGGACUCUGCCUCACCACACUUACACAACAGGAAUCCUACCAAAUAAAAACGGGGCUUAGAUUAUGGGCAGGCAAAAAUAAAGCAUAUACCUAUUGAACAUGCUUAAUCUGAUUAUUUAAUAAUAAUUAUUAUUUAAUAAUUAAAAUGAAUGAAUGGGUGAAUUAACAGUAAGACUUAAUUAGUUCAAGCAACUACUUUAAUAAAAAGAGCCCCAAGCUUCUAGCCUUAAUGUUGCUGUGUGACUGGGUAAAUCAUUUAACCUCUCGAGUUCUUUUUUCUCAUCUAUAAUAAGAGGGCUUGGCCUCUGAUCUCUGAUUUUCAUUAGAACUAACUUCUUUUUAAAAAUGAUUGUCAGUGUUCUUUGCAGAGGCUCAUCCACGUGGUGGAGCCAUAUGCCUACUAGGACUUGGCAGUGCCCACUGCACUAGCUUUAUAAUAUUAAGAAAACUCUUAGUACACCAAGUUGGCUAAUUUUUUUGAAGUUACAAAUGGAUUGUUUUAAUGUGUGUAUAUAAUGAAAGAUUAUUGAACA